ACGUAGGAGGCGAGCGUUAUCCGGAUUUACUGGGCGUAAAGCGUGCGCAGGCGGAUUGUUAAGCAAGACGUGGAAUCCCCGGGCUUAACCUGGGAAUGGCGUUUUGAACUGGCAGUCUAGAGUGCGUCAGAGGGGGGUGGAAUUCCACGUGUAGCAGUGAAAUGCGUAGAGGUGUGGAGGAACACCGAUGGCGAAGGCAGCCCCCUGGGAAGACACUGACGCUCAUGUACGAAAGCGUGGGUAGCAAACAG
rnacentral:rRNA from 1 species